UACGGAGGGUGCAAGCGUUAUCCGGAUUCACUGGGCUUAAAGGGUGCGUAGGCGGCGCAGUAAGUUGGGUGUGAAAUCCCUCGGCUUAACCGAGGAAUUGCGCCCAAAACUACUGUGCUCGAGGGAGGUAGAGGUGAGCGGAACUUAGGGUGGAGCGGUGAAAUGCGUUGAUAUCCUAAGGAACACCGGUGGCGAAAGCGGCUCACUGGACCUCUUCUGACGCUGAGGCACGAAAGCUAGGGUAGCAAACGGG
rnacentral:rRNA from 1 species